CAAAAGACAGGAUGAAUUGAAUUUUGAUAGAAUUCACGCCCAAGCUCGCAGUGUAAAUGAGAGAUGUAUAGGCAUUCUUAAAGGUAUCUAAAUGCGUUAACGUAUGCGCUGCACUGCACAAUAUUUGUAUCCAAUACAACGUUCCCGUGUUGGAACAAAUUCACGAGGACGAAACACAAUAUCAUUGGGAUGCUGAAGACACCAAUAGAAUAACUUUAAAAAAAAAAGCAGAAA